rnacentral:sRNA from 1 species
UCGAAGCUGCCGCAGGUUCGAGUUGAGCGCAGCGAAACAACGGAGCCGCUCGCGGCGACGGCCCGAAGGGCGAGCGAAGCGAGUCAUCCUGCACGACCCACCA